ACGCGCUCCGGGGUCAGUGAAAAUCUGAGCCGGCGGUCACAGUCCGCGACCCGCGUCGUCCCCGAGAGGUGGCGGCCGGUUGAACCGGUGGAACCCCGGUACCGACGGUCAUAGUCCGGAUGAGAGGUGGCGCGG
rnacentral:ncRNA from 1 species